rnacentral:tmRNA from 1 species
GGGGGCGUUUAUGGAUUCGACGGGGAUAGUUCGAGCAUGGGUUGCGGGUAGUGGGGACGCGUCCGCUUCAUCAACGCUAAAGCCUAUUAAAUGGCAACCAACGUACAACUUUAGCAGCAGCCUAAGAAACUGUAUGCUAAGCUUCUACUCUCCAUCGCCCAUGUGGCGGGAUAGGGGCUCAACUUUAGUGGGAUACGCUGUCUAGUCUCCGCCUGGGGCUAGCUGAAGAAGACAAUCAGGCUGACCCGAAGCGGAGCUGGUUACGGAGCGCUGCUAGGGUGACAUCAAAUCCGUGACUACACCCGUAGAAGCCUGUGUGCCGUUAUCUUCGGACAGGGGUUCGACUCCCCUCGCCUCCACCA